rnacentral:rRNA from 1 species
ACGCCGCGUGAGGGAUGAAGGGCUUCGGGUUGUAAACCUCUUUCAGCAGGGAAUAAGCGAAUGAAGGUACCUGCAGAAGAAGCACCAGCUAACUAUGUGCCAGCAGCCGCGGUAAUACAUAGGGUGCAAGCGUUGUCCGGAAUUAUUGGGCGUAAAGAGCUCGUAGGUUGUUCGUUACGUCGGAUGUGAAAAUCUGAGGCUUAACCCCAGACCUGCAUUCGAUACGGGCGAACUAGAGUGUGGUAGGGGAGACUGGAAUUCCUGGUGUAGCGGUGGAAUGCGCAGAUAUCAGGAGGAACACCAAUGGCGAAGGCAGGUCUCUGGGCCAUUACUGACACUGAGGAGCGAAAGUCUGGGGAGCGAACAGGAUUAGAUACCCUGGUAGUCCAGACCGUAAACGGCGGGCGCUAGUUGUGGGAACCUUCCACGGUUUCUGCGACGCAGCUAACGCAUUAAGCGCCCCGACUGGGGAGUACGAUCGCAAGAUUAAAACUCAAAGGAAUUGACGGGGCCCCGCACAAAGCAGCGGAGCAUUGCGGUUAAUUCGACGCAACGC